rnacentral:rRNA from 1 species
GUCGAACGAGAGAGAAGGAGCUUGCCUCUUCGAUCGAGUGGCGAACGGGUGAGUAACGCGUGAGGAACCUGCCUCAAAGAGGGGGACAACAGUUGGAAACGACUGCUAAUACCGCAUAAGCCCACGGGUCGGCAUCGACCAGAGGGAAAAGGAGCAAUCCGCUUUGAGAUGGCCUCGCGUCCGAUUAGCUAGUUGGUGAGGUAAUGGCCCACCAAGGCGACGAUCGGUAGCCGGACUGAGAGGUUGAACGGCCACAUUGGGACUGAGACACGGCCCAGACUCCUACGGGAGGCAGCAGUGGGGAAUAUUGCACAAUGGGGGAAACCCUGAUGCAGCGACGCCGCGUGGAGGAAGAAGGUCUUCGGAUUGUAAACUCCUGUUGUUGAGGAAGAUAAUGACGGUACUCAACAAGGAAGUGACGGCUAACUACGUGCCAGCAGCCGCGGUAAAACGUAGGUCACAAGCGUUGUCCGGAAUUACUGGG